AAGGACAGCAACUACCAACAGAUACAUUAGUAUGGCUAUUUGUUAGCUAUAAUUAGUUUCUUUGCCUUUAGUCUUUACAAAGUUGUGUGAAACAUUUCAUUUUGAUUGUGAUGAUGAAGUCUUUUAAUAUAUUGAUGAGUUUACUUUGA